GCCUAACACAUGCAAGUCGAGCGGCAGCGAGAGUAGUAGCAAUACUACUUGUCGGCGAGCGGCGGACGGGUGAGGAACACGUAGGAAUCUACCCAGAAGAGGGGGAUAACCAAGGGAAACUUUGGCUAAUACCGCAUAAUCUCGAGAGAGAAAAGCUGCCCGCAAGGGUGGCGCUUUUGGAGGAGCCUGCGUCCGAUUAGCUAGUUGGUAGGGUAAAGGCCUACCAAGGCGAUGAUCGGUAACUGGUCUGAGAGGACGACCAGUCACACUGGGACUGAGACACGGCCCAGACUCCUACGGGAGGCAGCAGUGGGGAAUAUUGGACAAUGGGGGAAACCCUGAUCCAGCGAUGCCGCGUGAGUGAAGAAGGCCUUCGGGUCGUAAAGCUCUUUAGGUUGGGAAGAAGGUUGUUAGGGUAAUAUCCUAGCAAUUUGACGGUACCGACAGAAUAAGCACCGGCAAACUCUGUGCCAGCCGCCGCAGUAA
rnacentral:rRNA from 1 species